rnacentral:rRNA from 1 species
AUUGAACGCUGGCGGCAGGCCUAACACAUGCAAGUCGAGCGGAUGAAGGGAGCUUGCUCCUGGAUUCAGCGGCGGACGGGUGAGUAAUGCCUAGGAAUCUGCCUGGUAGUGGGGGAUAACGUCCGGAAACGGGCGCUAAUACCGCAUACGUCCUGAUGGAGAAAGUGGGGGAUCUUCGGACCUCACGCUAUCAGAUGAGCCUAGGUCGGAUUAGCUAGUUGGUGGGGUAAAUGCCUACCAAGGCGACGAUCCGUAACUGGUCUGAGAGGAUGAUCAGUCACACUGGAACUGAGACACGGUCCAGACUCCUACGGGAGGCAGCAGUGGGGAAUAUUGGACAAUGGGCGAAAGCCUGAUCCAGCCAUGCCGCGUGUGUGAAGAAGGUCUUCGGAUUGUAAAGCACUUUAAGUUGGGAGGAGGGGCAGUAAGUUAAUACCUUGCUGUUUUGACGUUACCAACAGAAUAAGCACCGGCUAACUUCGUG